UACGUAGGUGGCAAGCGUUGUCCGGAAUUAUUGGGCGUAAAGCGCGCGCAGGCGGUCCUUUAAGUCUGAUGUGAAAUCACGUGGCUCAACCACGUGCGGUCAUUGGAAACUGGAGGACUUGAGUGCAGAAGAGGAAAGUGGAAUUCCAAGUGUAGCGGUGAAAUGCGUAGAGAUUUGGAGGAACACCAGUGGCGAAGGCGACUUUCUGGUAUGUAACUGACGCUGAGGCGCGAAAGCGUGGGGAGGCAAACAGGAUUAGAUA
rnacentral:rRNA from 1 species